ACAGCAUCAACUCUCUCCUCUGUCUCCUCUCUCUCUAUCCACACCAAGCCUCGCCUCUCUCUUCUGAAGCCUGUGAAAUCCUUCUUUCUUUUCUCCAAAUCCCCUCAAUUUCUUGAUAGAGUGAUAAGGAUGAUAAGAGUUAUAUGUCUCUCCCUUUCUUCGCACCCCACCACAAUUACCAGAGCCACAUCCAGUGACAUUGAUAACUCCUUCUUCGACAACGUUAAACCCGAAGACGACAUCGUUUUUGACCCUCCAACCCACCGGAAGACUUCGUUCCUCUGCCCUCCCUUGACGAGGGUCCCAUCGAAACCGAGGAAGAAAUCGCCUCUGCUUACGAAGUGCUCUAUGGACCCGCUUGUAGCGGAGUUGGUGUUUUGGGCAAUGAUGUGUAUGUAAUGGACUCGAAGGUUAAAAAGACAACUGGGUUCGGUUCGAAAGGGAAG
rnacentral:misc_RNA from 1 species